rnacentral:lncRNA from 10 species
CCGCCUUCUCCUUGCUACUGGCCCCUGUGUUUCCAGGCUGGGCUUACAUUUGAGUGUUUUCUCUUCAAGAACCUGGACGUUUAGUCUAGGUUGUGUCUUCCGUGAGAAAGGCUGGCGUUGGGUAAGGCUGGAGAGACUGGAGCCAAGGACUCUGCAGGCCUUGAAGAUGCAAGCUGGUAUGAUGUGAACUGCCACAUGGCAGGGAACUGCAGGUACCCUCGAGGACGUGAGGACCUCAUUCUUACAUCUGCAAGAAACCAAAUUCUGCGGACAGCUAUGUGAACUUUAAAAGAAGACCUGGAACCUCCAGAAAGGAAUGCAGCCUGGCCAAUGUGCUGAUUGCAUCCUUGUGAGACUCUGAGCCAGAGGACCCAGCUAAACUCUGCCUGGACUCCUGACCCACGGAAACUGUAAGAUAAUAAACGUGUGUUGUUUUAAGCUGCCA